ensembl:lncRNA novel transcript, antisense to AGBL5
UGGGCAGGUGAAAGAGUGGAGGGCAGGUGUCGAUAUGCUGAGAUCAGGGUCAUACAGAAACAUAGUUUUCAAAGGUACCCAAAGUCCUGUCUGUACAUUCUGUACAGAAAAAAGACGGAUGAAAGUAUGGUUCAGAGCUCUAAGAGCAAAUUCCAGAAGUAGUGGAGGUGCUGUCUGAUCCAGGACUGUGUGGCAGGAGUAAGAAUGGGGCUGGCACCUGCUAUGGGUAGGGUGGUUCUCCGGAAAGCGCUGGUCUAGCUGGUUUAGCAGUUCCUGGCAGUCACUGUAGGAGAAGGGGUAGCAGAAGGCGAAGAAGGUGGUGGCCCCACGGCCCUCCACGAAACGAUGAACAAAGGAUAACACAAACUGCGUCUCUGUCAUCUGAAGAGCAGAGGAGGAAGAGGGAGGGGCAACAUGCCAUUGUCAGAACUGAGCUCCUACUGGGACCACCAGGAACUGACCUCACACCCUUAUCACCUUUACCAACUUCCCUCCCUGUGACACUUUCUAUAUGAAAAGUGGCUCCUUCUAGGCUUCCUGAGGCAGGGGCUCAUCUUGGACUCUAGCUAACACUGGAGAAAAAGCUGAUACUUAAACCUGUUGUCCCACCUGCUUCAUACUUGUAUCAAGGAAAAAAAAACGCUUUACUUUCCUCUCUA